CAGCCGCCGCGGGAAUACGUAGGUGGCAAGCGUUGUCCGGAAUUAUUGGGCGUAAAGCGCGCGCAGGCGGUCCUUUAAGUCUGAUGUGAAAGCCCACGGCUCAACCGUGGAGGGUCAUUGGAAACUGGGGGACUUGAGUGCAGAAGAGGAAAGCGGAAUUCCACGUGUAGCGGUGAAAUGCGUAGAGAUGUGGAGGAACACCAGUGGCGAAGGCGGCUUUCUGGUCUGUAACUGACGCUGAGGCGCGAAAGCGUGGGGAGCAAACAGGAUUAGAUACCCCCGUAGUCCCUGUCUCUUAUAC
rnacentral:rRNA from 1 species